UUUAUUGAAACUUCGGUCGAUUUAAUUUAAUUCUAGUGGCGGACGGGUGAGUAACGCGUGGGUAACCUGCCUUAUACAGGGGGAUAACAGUCAGAAAUGGCUGCUAAUACCGCAUAAGCGCACAGAGCUGCAUGGCUCAGUGUGAAAAACUCCGGUGGUAUAAGAUGGACCCGCGUUGGAUUAGCUAGUUGGUGGGGUAACGGCUCACCAAGGCGACGAUCCAUAGCCGGCCUGAGAGGGUGAACGGCCACAUUGGGACUGAGACACGGCCCAGACUCCUACGGGAGGCAGCAGUGGGGAAUAUUGCACAAUGGGGGAAACCCUGAUGCAGCGACGCCGCGUGAAGGAAGAAGUAUCUCGGUAUGUAAACUUCUAUCAGCAGGGAAGAUAGUGACGGUACCUGACUAAGAAGCCCCGGCUAACUACGUGCCAGCAGCCGCGGUAAUACGUAGGGGGCAAGCGUUAUCCGGAUUUACUGGGUGUAAAGGGAGCGUAGACGGUGUGGCAAGUCUGAUGUGAAAGGCAUGGGCUCAACCUGUGGACUGCAUUGGAAACUGUCAUACUUGAGUGCCGGAGGGGUAAGCGGAAUUCCUAGUGUAGCGGUGAAAUGCGUAGAUAUUAGGAGGAACACCAGUGGCGAAGGCGGCU
rnacentral:rRNA from 1 species